rnacentral:lncRNA from 12 species
UUGCAGGAUUUUUGAACAGAACUACCCCUACUCAGCCCUUUUAGCCCCACUGCACAAGUCCUGUGUUACAGCCCUGGUCCAUAUCUGAGUAUUGCCUUGUCAUGCAUCAUGUUCACGGUUUUAAUUCAUCCUGCCCAGACAAUUACCCUGCAUUAAACAUAGGCCAGCG